rnacentral:rRNA from 1 species
AUUGAACGCUGGCGGCAGGCCUAACACAUGCAAGUCGAGCGAGCGGCGGACGGGUGAGUAAUGUAUGGGGACUGCCCGAUAGAGGGGGAUAACUACUGGAAACGGUGGCUAAUACCGCAUACUAUCGGAUAACCCAUAUGGGAUUAGCUAGUCGGUGGGGUAAAGGCUCACCAAGGCGACGAUCUCUAGCUGGUCUGAGAGGAUGAUCAGCCGAACUGGGACUGAGACACGGCCCAGACUCCUGCGGAGGCAGCAGUGGUGAAUAUUUCACAGUGGGCGCAAGCCUGAUGCAGCCAUGCCGCGUGUAUGAAGAAGGCCUUCGGGUUGUAAAGGACUUUCAGCGGGGAGGCGUUACCCGCAGAAGAAGCACCGGCUAACUCCGUGCCAGCAGCCGCGGUAAUUC